rfam:Murine hepatitis virus strain S/3239-17, complete genome.
UAUAAGAGUGAUUGGCGUCCGUACGUACCCUCUCAACUCUAAAACUCUUGUAGUUUAAAUCUAAUCUAAACUUUAUAAACGGCACUUCCUGCGUGUCCAUGCCCGCGGGCCUGGUCUUGUCAUAGUGCUGACAUUUGUGGUUCCUUGACUUUCGUUCUCUGCCAGUGACGUGUCCAUUCGGCGCCAGGAGCCCACCCAUAGGUUGCAUAAUGGCAAAGAUGGGCAAAUACGGUCUCGGCUUCAAAUGGGCCCCAGAAUUUCCAUGGAUGCUUCCGAACGCAUCGGAGAAGUUGGGUAA